rnacentral:rRNA from 1 species
AUUGAACGCUGGCGGCAGGCCUAACACAUGCAAGUCGAGCGGAUGAAGGGAGCUUGCUCCUGGAUUCAGCGGCGGACGGGUGAGUAAUGCCUAGGAAUCUGCCUGGUAGUGGGGGAUAACGUCCGGAAACGGGCGCUAAUACCGCAUACGUCCUGAGGGAGAAAGUGGGGGAUCUUCGGACCUCACGCUAUCAGAUGAGCCUAGGUCGGAUUAGCUAGUUUGUGGGGUAAAGGCCUACCAAGGCGACGAUCCGUAACUGGUCUGAGAGGAUGAUCAGUCACACUGGAACUGAGACACGGUCCAGACUCCUACGGGAGGCAGCAGUGGGGAAUAUUGGACAAUGGGCGGAAGCCUGAUCCAGCCAUGCCGCGUGUGUGAAGAAGGUCUUCGGAUUGUAAAGCACUUUAAGUUGGGAGGAAGGGCAGUAAGUUAAUACCUUGCUGUUUUGACGUUACCAACAGAAUAAGCACCGGCUAACUUCGUG